UCUAUAAAACUUAUGAAUAAUAAUAUUUUGAAGCAAGACAGAGUCAGAAUAAAUGUUCGAAGAAAGUUUCUAUGGAUCGACUUUAAACAAGCACGUCUUACAAAGAUCAAACUUGAUGACAACUUAAAGGUUGUGUUUAUUGGCGAAUGUGCCAUUGAUGAUGGAGGACCAAAAAGAGAGUUCUUCACAGAAUUGUUAGAAGCAGGAAAAAGGAAGUUAAUGUCUCGUGGAUUUCCCAAUGAUUCCACAAUGGCACUGAUGGCUAAUGACUUCUGACUACUUGGUGAGGCUAUGGUUAUGUCUGUCAUACAGGGUGGUCCAGCUCCAAAUUUCUUAAAUGAAAGUAUAUUCCAAUAUAUUGCAAAGCAAGAUUUAUCUGCAGAAAAUUGUCAAAAUGAGGCAUUUAAAUCAGCAGCUAUUAAGUUAUCAUCCUGUAUAACAGAUGAUGUACUUCAUGAAACCAUAUUGGCAGAUGAGAUAUUAGAUGUUUUGCAGAAUGUUGGAUACACCGGUGUGCCUCAAAAAGAAAGCAUCAAAUCAUCCAAAG